UUUCUUUAGAUAUAUUUUAAAGGUAAUACCUGCUCAAUGAAUAUUAAAUUGCCGCAGUAUUAUGACUGUGCUAAGGUAGCAUAAUAAUUUGUCUUUUAAAUGGGGACUGGAAUGAAAGGUUUUAUGGGGGUAUGUUAAUGAUUUAAUGAGUUAUUGAAGUUAAGGUUUAAGUUAAAAUUCUUAAAAUUAUUUGAGGGACGAGAAGACCCUGUGGAUCUUUAUUUUACGUAUAAUAAAUUAUUAUAAAUGUUUUAUUAUUUUAAAAAUUUGAUUGGGACGAUUAUUAUUUUAACAUGAUUUUGAGGGUUUAUGUUGAUCCUAUAAAAGGAAUUAAGAUUAAGUUACCCCAGGGAUAACAGCGUUAUAUUAUUGGAUAGUUCAUAUUGAUAAUAAUGUUUGCGACCUCGAUGUUGAAUUAAAAUUUCUUUUUAAAGUAGAAGUUAAAUUAGUAAGUCUGUUCGACUUUUAAAAUUUU
rnacentral:rRNA from 1 species